AAACUGGAGAGUUUGAUCCUGGCUCAGAACGAACGCUGGUGGCGUGCUUAACACAUGCAAGUCGAACGCGAAAGUGGGCUUCGGCCCGCGAGUAGAGUGGCGCACGGGUGAGUAACGCGUAGGUAAUCUAUCUUUAUGUUCGGGAUACCCAGCCGAAAGGCUGGCUAAUACCGGAUACGCUCGCGAGGCCGGGAGGCUUGGCGAGGAAAGGUGCCCUCUCCUUGGAAGGUGCCGCAGAGAGACGAGCCUGCGUACCAUUAGCUAGUUGGUGGGGUAAUGGCCUACCAAGGCUACGAUGGUUAGCGGGUCUGAGAGGAUGAUCCGCCACACUGGAACUGGAACACGG
rnacentral:ncRNA from 1 species